UCUCCUGUAGUUCAAUGGUAGAAUACUCCGCUGUUAACGGAGGGGUUGUAGGUUCGAAUCCUACCGGGAGAG
rnacentral:tRNA from 1 species